rnacentral:rRNA from 1 species
GGCUGAAAUUCGCCUUCAUGAAGCCGGAAUUGCUAGUAAUGGCAGGUCAGCAUACUGCCGUGAAUACGUUCCCGGGCCUUGUACACACCGCCCGUCACACCAUGAGAGUUGGGAAUACCCGAAGCCUGUGAGCUAACUAAUGGAGGCAGCAGUCGAAGGUAGAAUCAAUGAUUGGGGUGAAGUCGUAACAAGGUACC